CGCCGGCUCCCCCGCGGCGAUCAGCCGUGAACCCCGCCAGGCCCGGAAGGGAGCAACGGUAGCGGCGACAUCGGGUGCCGGGGUGCAGCUGGCGUGG
rnacentral:SRP_RNA from 1 species